UACGUAGGGUGCGAGCGUUGUCCGGAAUUAUUGGGCGUAAAGAGCUUGUAGGCGGUCUGUCGCGUCUGCUGUGAAAAUCCGGGGCUCAACCCCGGACUUGCAGUGGGUACGGGCAGACUAGAGUGUGGUAGGGAGACUGGAAUUCCUGGUGUAGCGGUGAAAUGCGCAGAUAUCAGGAGGAACACCGAUGGCGAAGGCAGGUCUCUGGGCCACUACUGACGCUGAGAAGCGAAAAGCAUGGGAGCGAACAGG
rnacentral:rRNA from 1 species